rnacentral:rRNA from 1 species
UCCAGACUCCUACGGGAGGCAGCAGUGAGGAAUAUUGGUCAAUGGGCGGAAGCCUGAACCAGCCAAGUCGCGUGAGGGAAUAAGGCCCUACGGGUCGUAAACCUCUUUUGCCGGGGAGCAAGGGCCGGGACGCGUCCCGGCCCGGAGAGUACCCGGAGAAAAAGCAUCGGCUAACUCCGUGCCAGCAGCCGCGGUAAUACGGAGGAUGCGAGCGUUAUCCGGAUUUAUUGGGUUUAAAGGGUGCGUAGGCGGGCUUUUAAGUCAGCGGUAAAAAUUCGGGGCUCAACCCCGUCCGGCCGUUGAAACUGGGGGCCUUGAGUGGGCGAGAAGAAGGCGGAAUGCGUAGUGUAGCGGUGAAAUGCAUAGAUAUCACGCAGAACCCCGAUUGCGAAGGCAGCCUUCCGGCGCCCUACUGACGCUGAGGCACGAAAGUGCGGGGAUCGAACAGGAUUAGAUACCCAA